GAUGAACGCUGGCGGCGUGCCUAAUACAUGCAAGUCGAGCGAACAGACGAGGAGCUUGCUCCUCUGACGUUAGCGGCGGACGGGUGAGUAACACGUGGAUAACCUACCUAUAAGACUGGGAUAACUUCGGGAAGCCGGAGCUAAUACCGGAUAAUAUAUUGAACCGCAUGGUUCAAUAGUGAAAGACGGUUUUGCUGUCACUUAUAGAUGGAUCCGCGCCGCAUUAGCUAGUUGGUAAGGUAACGGCUUACCAAGGCAACGAUGCGUAGCCGACCUGAGAGGGUGAUCGGCCACACUGGAACUGAGACACGGUCCAGACUCCUACGGGAGGCAGCAGUAGGGAAUCUUCCGCAAUGGGCGAAAGCCUGACGGAGCAACGCCGCGUGAGUGAUGAAGGUCUUCGGAUCGUAAAACUCUGUUAUUAGGGAAGAACAAGUGUGUAAGUAACUAUGCACGUCUUGACGGUACCUAAUCAGAAAGCCACGGCUAACUACGUG
rnacentral:rRNA from 1 species